AGUAGUUUGAUCCUGGCUCAGGACGAACGCUGGCGGCGUGCUUAACACAUGCAAGUCGAACGCUGAAGCCUGGUCUUUGACUGGGUGGAGGAGUGGCGAACGGGUGAGUAACACGUGGGUAACCUGUCCCGUACUGUGGGAUAAGCCCUGGAAACGGGGUCUAAUACCGCAUAGGACACUUCAUCGCAUGGUGGGGUGUGGAAAGGUUUUUUCCGGUAUGGGGUGGGCCCGCGGCCUAUCAGCUUGUUGGUGGGGUGAUGGCCUACCAAGGCGGUGACGGGUAGCUGGCCUGAGAGGGCGACCGGCCACACUGGGACUGAGACACGGCCCAGACUCCUACGGGAGGCAGCAGUGGGGAAUAUUGCACAAUGGGCGCAAGCCUGAUGCAGCGACGCCGCGUGAGGGAUGACGGCCUUCGGGUUGUAAACCUCUUUCGACCCCGACGAAGCGAGAGUGACGGUAGGGGUAGAAGAAGCACCGGCUGACUACGUG
rnacentral:rRNA from 1 species